AUUGAACGCUGGCGGCAGGCUUAACACAUGCAAGUCGAGCGGAGAUGAGGUGCUUGCACCUUAUCUUAGCGGCGGACGGGUGAGUAAUGCUUAGGAAUCUGCCUAUUAGUGGGGGACAACAUUCCGAAAGGAAUGCUAAUACCGCAUACGUCCGACGGGAGAAAGCAGGGGAUCUUCGGACCUUGCGCUAAUAGAUGAGCCUAAGUCGGAGUAGCUAGUUGGUGGGGUAAAGGCCUACCAAGGCGACGAUCUGUAGCGGGUCUGAGAGGAUGAUCCGCCACACUGGGACUGAGACACGGCCCAGACUCCUACGGGAGGCAGCAGUGGGGAAUAUUGGACAAUGGGGGGAACCCUGAUCCAGCCAUGCCGCGUGUGUGAAGAAGGCCUUAUGGUUGUAAAGCACUUUAAGCGAGGAGGAGGCUACUGAGACUAAUACUCUUGGAUAGUGGACGUUACUCGCAGAAUAAGCACCGGCUAACUCUGUGCCAGCAGCCGCGGUAACAC
rnacentral:rRNA from 1 species